ensembl:lncRNA
AUUUUCCUAACUCCUGUCUGCAUCUUCCAUCUCCAGAUAACUUUUAUCUUUGAUCCUUGUGCUAUAAUUGCAAUACUCUCUUUAUAUAUUCACUUAAUUGGUUACAUUCAUUAAUUUAUUAUUUGGGAUUAAUCUUAAAGGGGUCAAAAUCCAGUUCCUUCAGAUUCAAGACAAUAUGUUUUCCCAGAGAACUGUGGGCGUUCACAAACAAGCACAUACACUCAAAUGGAUGCCUCAGCCUGCCAUCUGAGGUAAAUUAGUGCAGAUUGUUGGCCUCACCAAUACUCCUAAAAAGUUGGAAAACUAACUAAAAGCUAGUUUCAGAGUCCUCUUCAUAACAGUGUCUAGGGAGCUCAAAGACUUAAAGCCUGUCAGAGAAGAUGCUAAGUAGCAAGAGCAACAGCUUUCAUCUCUGUGUUUACUGGCGAGAGCUUUUCUUACAUGAAUACUCAUUCUAUUGGGUUUGUACAGCAGGCCAGCAGGUGGAGUCAUAAACUAUUAUGAGCAAAACUCUUAUUCCAAUGUACAAAUACACUGCACACAAUCAUUGUGUCAUUCUUUGAGCAUUCUGGCAUUUUCACUUAGAUUUUCCAUUUUUAUCGUGUGCGUUAAGAACAUGUGGUGUUGAUGCUACAGCACAAUUAGGACUUUCUUUGGUGUGUUCACCAUCUCUAGACAAUAUCAACUCGUGUCAGCAUUAUACAUUUUUCCAGGGGAGUAACAUCAACAGAAGAAGUGAAGGAAUGAAGAAUACAGGUAUGACUGCCAUGGGCUCUUCAUAAGGUUGGGUAAGGAUAGAAUUGGUUUGAUGAUUCGGUUAAUAAUUCUGGUUGAUUACAGGAACACUACACUGACAUCACUAGGGAAGACACUCAGCAUCUGUGGAUGUCGAUGGGUUGUAGACUUCAGGCAGUCAUUGCAUGCUAAGGAUUUGCAACCAAGUAUUAAAUGCUACAAAUUAAUUUAAGACGAUUUUAAUGUGUUUAAUUCCUUCUAGACCCCUAGAUUGGGAGAGACUGUAAUUCCUACAUGUGAAUACCAUCAAAUUAAACCUGACAGUCUGUACUUUAACAUUUCAGUCAUUGUUUCAUUUAAAACCCAUUGUCCUGGAGUACAGAGUCAAGGCAAAACCUCUGUCACUGUCCAAUUACUUAUGAACUGCUCUGUAUCUGCUGUAAUAGUGGAAUGAUCGUGUUUGACAUCAUUUACUUAUCAGGCAUUUUUAGGGUUGUUUUGUUAGGGGUAAAAGUUUACCAUCUAGGGUGUUACUGAGGGGACAGGCAGUAGAAUUAGUGCAGGAGAAUAUAACCUCCCUGAUUCCGAAUUGUUUGUGAAUAUACGUGAUCAUAAGUGACCAUACAGUAAUAUGCCGGUAUUUCUUAGUAAAGGUAGCUACUCUUUCGUCAGGAGACUAGCAUUAAAAGGUCAUGUGUUUCACGGUCUAUGCACAUCUUCUUUGCUUCUCUUCAGUCAAGUAGACAUGUGUAGACAUGUACAGUAGACACAUAGAAACAGUCGUCUCUUGCCAUUGCUUACCAUCAUUUUUUCCCCAAACUAAUGGCCAUUUUCCACUGCAUGGUACCGGCUCAACUACACCCCUGUAGCCUCGACUUUCAUCACUUUAAGGGCGAAAGUAUUUUUAAUGUUUUUCAACACUGUCGUGUCUGUAGAUAGCACUGUAGUGAUUGUGAAUUGCAUGUAAGGCAAGACAAUCGCCAUUUUGCAAGAUAGGAAUCCCACGUUCUAGUAAUGUAAAAACUGGAUCAUUUUAGUGACUUGGUUCUUUAAGUCUCUUUUUUAGGGUGUGUAGGCUAUCAGCUAUAUGCUCUGAAUUGGACAAUAGAACAUGUGGUUUAUGACAUUGUUUUACUACAAUUUGAUGAACUCCCGAAACUCAAAGCUAUGGUGAGUUCUGUUCUGCGCUAUUAUAAAUAACUAAGUGUUGUUAGGUUACUGAUUAAGAACGUAAUGACUGUUUUGUAAUAAACAAUGACAAUAUUCUAUUACAACAUUCAAAUUAUUUAGUUAAAGUCACUGGUAGCUGAACACAAGUUCUAAACCAUUGGCUGGAAAACAAAUUAUAGAAACCAAGCUUGAAAAAAACAGCGUUGGCCUUUCUUCGUGUGUCCUUAAGUUUCGUUGCUUACUAUUUUUAGUUUCUUUGUUUAUCCUCAAGUUCAGAUGAUUUGUGUUUCUUUGCAUAUCAACAUUUGAACAGGUAUGGUAACAUCAUUAGCUAACUUGUCUAAAUCGUGUAUCAACAAGUUAGAAUGUUAUAAUAUAUGUUCUUAUUCCUUGUAACUUUUAUCAACUGAUACGUAAGGUUAGCUAAAUCGUGUUUCUUUGUGUAACAUUAUCCACAUCAUGUGGAUAACAUUACUCUUGGAAGUAACAUUUAGCUAGACUAGCUAAACCUGCACUUGUUACAAUUCCGUUACUGAGGUGUCUUGUGUGUCUGUGUGUCCACAUUGUUCUUAGCUAGCCUGUGUGUGUCUUGUACUGCCGUUUUUUUAAACCUCUUUUCUAAACACUGCAUUCAGGUCAUGACAUUUUCUGUAGUUUUGUUCCUGGAGGAAGUUUGCCAGAACUUGUUCACCACCUGAAGACACCUGGGAGGCUGUCCCUUAUAAGCUCAUCAAGCAUGCAGGUGAAUUUGAAAACAAAAUAAUUUGAAACUUGGAAUUAAACUAUGUUUUGCAGGGUAAAAGCUUACAAAACCUUCCAGCGUGGGCCCCUACCACCCCACAACACCCUGUGGAUUGCAGCCCUGGAGGAUGGAGCAAGCACAGUACUCCAAGGCACCAGAGUGGUACUCCACGCCACAAUGUGGAGGACUGCUACAUAGGGAAAUUAGACUUGGGGCAUGUUUUAGCUCUGCACAUGAAGAACAUUUGGAGAAGAUCAGGCAGCUGACUGAAGAGAAGGUUGAGCUGACGGCACAGCUGGCUCUACAAUCAGUUAAAAACAAAACUAUUGUUACGCUAGCAUCUUGUUUUAAUGAAACUGCAUUUGUCUGAACGUGUGCCCUUUACUAAAAUGCUUUGAAGUACAGCCUUUCUGAAAUUACAUGUAUCAGGCAGUUUUGUUUAUUUCAAUAUUAAGCUAUUGACAUUUCUUGUGCUUUUAAGCUUCUGAUAAACGUCUGACUGAAGAGAAUGUCAAGCUGAGGGCCCAGCUGGCUCAACAAUCAGGAGCCAUAAGGAAGAAUCCUUCCUACCGGGAAUCAUGCCAUCGAUGAAGCUGUCCAGAACCAGGUCCCCAGGUACCAGAAAGGGGCAGCUGACCGUGUAAGUGGGAGAAGAUGUCGCGGUGGUACAAGGGACCUGCCGUGAAUAUGAAUGACAUCUCCAGCACAACCAAUAUUGCUGCUAAUAUUUCACUUAGGGGUGUACUCACGUUUUCUUGUAGAAUUGUUUUUGUUUUAUUUAUUUCAAUGCAUGUUUUUUGUAUGCAUCUUGCACUAUUUGAAAUUAAUUUAUAUUUUAUUCAGUUCAUUGUCAUUUGUGAUAUGACCAAAAUUAUUGUAAAUUAUUAUGAAUAAAACCUAAUAUUGGGGCGUCCAGCACCAUCCAAAGCUACACACUUGGUCUUGCAGAAUGCUUCAUCCAGAAAACAUUUACCUGUAACAUCACACCUGGUUCAUCUUUGCGGUUGGGGCUAACUUGGCCCCCACCUUGUAUGUCCGCUCCUUUCAGGAGAAGUAAAUAGGCCCAAUGGUGUGAGAUUUGGAUGUCCCACUGUGUUGAGACUCCAGACAACAUGGCACCUUCACAAACCUUCCAAAACACAUCUUUCAUUACACUACAGAUGCAUACAACAGGGCAUCCUAAACUUUGUAAUUUGGUCAACAGAGUACAUUAGUGAGAAAAGUUAGUUUGAAUGAACUGUUUGUUGCUUUAAUUCAGCUUACUCCAACAAAAUGGUAGCAAAUUAGGGAUAUCUCUUUUAAAGUGUCUAAAAUCAAUUUGGAGAAAGAAUCACUAGCGUAACUGCCUGUUCAUUGUCUGCUUCCACAUCACUCAUGCAAACUCAAACACCCUACUCUAUUUAAAUGUAGUAUUGCUAACCAAGUUACAUAUCCUGGGAAAUGUCUACUAGUGACCUUCUUAUGCUUUCACUAACACAAAGUCAGAAAUAUGGCCCUUUGUAGUUCUAGCUUGUCUUCUUCAAAUAAAAUGUUAAACCCAAUGGAGUCUCAUGUAGCUCAGAUGGUAAGGGAUUUGCACAUGCAACGCCAGGGUUGUAGGGUCAUUUCCCACAGGGGGUAAGAAUAAAAAAUAUGACAAUUUACAAUUAGGACCUGCUAAAUACCUUAUUUAAAUGUCUACACCUAAGCACACUGCUAACCCUAAUUUUAUGUAAAGUUAGUGACUUGUUUGAGUUUCUACAAUAUCCCCAAUGACUUCAUGUAAAACAGAAAGUAUCCCACUUUCUCUUUCUCACUCUGCAUAGCCACUGCUUUUACUGUUCCGUCAUGAAAAUGACAAAAUAUUUAAUUAAAAUGUUAUUCUCUUCACUUGCCACUGUUCUGUCAAAGAAAAUGUUGCGUAAGG